AAAUUGAAGAGUUUGAUCAUGGCUCAGAUUGAACGCUGGCGGCAGGCUUAACACAUGCAAGUCGAGCGGAAACGAGUUAUCUGAGCCUUCGGGGGACGAUAACGGCGUCGAGCGGCGGACGGGUGAGUAAUGCCUAGGAAAUUGCCCUGAUGUGGGGGAUAACCAUUGGAAACGAUGGCUAAUACCGCAUAAUGCCUACGGGCCAAAGAGGGGGACCUUCGGGCCUCUCGCGUCAGGAUAUGCCUAGGUGGGAUUAGCUAGUUGGUGAGGUAAGGGCUCACCAAGGCAACGAUCCCUAGCUGGUCUGAGAGGAUGAUCAGCCACACUGGAACUGAGACACGGUCCAGACUCCUACGGGAGGCAGCAGUGGGGAAUAUUGCACAAUGGGCGCAAGCCUGAUGCAGCCAUGCCGCGUGUGUGAAGAAGGCCUUCGGGUUGUAAAGCACUUUCAGUCGUGAGGAAGGUAGUGUAGUUAAUAGCUGCAUUAUUUGACGUUAGCGACAGAAGAAGCACCGGCUAACUCCGUGCCAGCAGCCGCGGUAAUACGGAGGGUGCGAGCGUUAAUCGGAAUUACUGGGCGUAAAGCGCAUGCAGGUGGUUUGUUAAGUCAGAUGUGAAAGCCCGGGGCUCAACCUCGGAAUAGCAUUUGAAACUGGCAGACUAGAGUACUGUAGAGGGGGGUAGAAUUUCAGGUGUAGCGGUGAAAUGCGUAGAGAUCUGAAGGAAUACCGGUGGCGAAGGCGGCCCCCUGGACAGAUACUGACACUCAGAUGCGAAAGCGUGGGGAGCAAACAGGAUUAGAUACCCUGGUAGUCCACGCCGUAAACGAUGUCUACUUGGAGGUUGUGGCCUUGAGCCGUGGCUUUCGGAGCUAACGCGUUAAGUAGACCGCCUGGGGAGUACGGUCGCAAGAUUAAAACUCAAAUGAAUUGACGGGGGCCCGCACAAGCGGUGGAGCAUGUGGUUUAAUUCGAUGCAACGCGAAGAACCUUACCUACUCUUGACAUCCAGAGAACUUUCCAGAGAUGGAUUGGUGCCUUCGGGAACUCUGAGACAGGUGCUGCAUGGCUGUCGUCAGCUCGUGUUGUGAAAUGUUGGGUUAAGUCCCGCAACGAGCGCAACCCUUAUCCUUGUUUGCCAGCGAGUAAUGUCGGGAACUCCAGGGAGACUGCCGGUGAUAAACCGGAGGAAGGUGGGGACGACGUCAAGUCAUCAUGGCCCUUACGAGUAGGGCUACACACGUGCUACAAUGGCGCAUACAGAGGGCGGCCAACUUGCGAAAGUGAGCGAAUCCCAAAAAGUGCGUCGUAGUCCGGAUUGGAGUCUGCAACUCGACUCCAUGAAGUCGGAAUCGCUAGUAAUCGUGGAUCAGAAUGCCACGGUGAAUACGUUCCCGGGCCUUGUACACACCGCCCGUCACACCAUGGGAGUGGGCUGCAAAAGAAGUAGGUAGUUUAACCUUCGGGGGGACGCUUACCACUUUGUGGUUCAUGACUGGGGUGAAGUCGUAACAAGGUAGCGCUAGGGGAACCUGGCGCUGGAUCACCUCCUUAUACGAUGAU
rnacentral:rRNA from 1 species